rnacentral:rRNA from 1 species
CACGUAGGGCGCAAGCGUUGUCCGGAAUUAUUGGGCGUAAAGAGCUCGUAGGCGGUCUGUUGCGUCCGCUGUGAAAACUCGGGGCUUAACCCCGAGCCUGCAGUGGAUACGGGCAGACUAGAGGUAGGUAGGGGAGAAUGGAAUUCCCGGUGUAGCGGUGAAAUGCGCAGAUAUCGGGAGGAACACCGGUGGCGAAGGCGGUUCUCUGGGCCUUAACUGACGCUGAGGAGCGAAAGCAUGGGGAGCGAACAGG